rnacentral:lncRNA from 1 species
AAAACUUGAUUGAUUCCUGCAAAAUAUAAAAUUUUGAAGUGUCUUGCAAGACUUUCCCUGUACAAGCAUUUGAUCAAUUCAAAAUUCUGAGAAGUUCCACCUCUUCAUUUCAGAAACCGCAAAGAAGUCACACACAACACCAAACAAAUCUUUCAAGAAUAAAAAGAAGAUGAUUAUAGAUUCUAUCUGGAGCAAGAAACCAAGGAAUGCGUAGCUUAUUCAAAUCUCCAUCUUCUUCAAUCUCUCUUUGCUUCUCUUCUUCUUCCGCUUCUAUUACCACAAGUUUUUUCCAUCGACCUUACUGAACCCUACCUACGUAAAGGCUCGUCACUAUCUUCACUUGCUGCAAACCCUUCAUGGCUUUCUCCAAAUCAAGAAUUUGCCUUUGGAUUUCAGAAACUGACCAAUGAUAAGGAGAACCACUUCUUGUUCAAUAACAUACAGAAUCAGCAC